AUGGAAGCCCGUGGAGCACCGCCACAGAUCUGGAUGGCUCGUACACCAGUGGACCCAGCGGACCGUCCAAGCCAGCGCUGGGCCACAGAUCUGGAUGGCUCGUACACCAGUGGACCCAGCGGACCGUCCGAGCCAGCGCUGGGCCACAAACUGCUAUUCUCAAAAGCUGCCGUCAUGUUUUUUUGUUUUGUUUCGUUUGUUUUUGUUUUUAAACUCCUCCACUUCCUUUACUGCAGCUCUGUCUCACGCCUGCACCACACUGGUGUCUUACUGCAGCCCUGUCUUACUGCAGCCCUGUCUCACAUCUAUCUGUCUUACUGCAGCCCUGUCUUACUGCAGCCCUGUCUCACAUCUAUCUGUCUUACUGCAGCCCUGUCUUACUGCAGCCCUGUCUUACGCCUGUUGUCUUACUGCAGCCCUGUCUUACUGCAGCCCUGUCUUACUGCAGCCCUGUCUUACUGCAGCCCUGUCUUACGCCUGUUGUCUUACUGCAGCCCUGUCUUACUGCAGCCCUGUCUUACUGCAGCCCUGUCUCACGCCUAUCUGUCUUACUGCAGCCCUGUCUUACGCCUAUCUGUCUUACUGCAGCCCUGUCUUACGCCUAUCUGUCUUACUGCAGCCCUGUCUUACGCCUAUCUGUCUUACUGCAGCCCUGUCUUACGCCUAUCUGUCUUACUGCAGCCCUGUCUUACGCCUGCACCACACUGCUGUCUUACUGCAGCCAGAAACUACCAUCCUCCUCCCCACCCGAACACACACACACACACACACACACCCACCCAAACACACACACACACUCACACACACACACACACACACACAGCUUAAGGGAGAGCAGGGUGACCCAGGUAAAACCAUAGCCCCUUUUUUCGUAGGUGGCUAUAUUUUUUAGGCUGCCCAUAGUCACAAGUCGAUCCUUAGGAACUGUGUGAUGUGGAGAUGGCCUUUCCUAUGACCUCACAGGGGAAAUCCCCAUGGUUACCAUGGUUAGUGUGUCAGUGGCUCUAGGCCUGUCGCACAAGGUCCACGGCACAGUGUGCUCAUGCUCCAGUAAGGAGGAAGGAAGACUGGCAGAGGUUGACAAGAUUAAGUGUCUCCUCUUGGACUAGAAGGAUCAGAGUAAGACAACAUGAGUGUCUCCUCUUGGACAGGAAGGAUCAUGACAUGAGUGUCUCGUCUUGGACAGGAAGGAUCAGAGGUGUGGACAACAUGAGUGUCUCAUCUUGGACAGGAAGGAUCAGAGGUGGGGACAACAUGAGUGUCUCGUCUUGGACAGGAAGGAUCAGAGGUGUGGACAACAUGAGUGUCUCGUCUUGGACAGGAAGGAUCAGAGGUGUGGACAACAUGAGUGUCUCGCCUUGGAUAGGAAGGAUUAAGGGGGACAACAGGAGUGUCUCCUCUUGGACAGGAAGGAUCAGAGGUGGAUCACAUGAGUGUCUCGUCUUGGACAGGAAGGAUUAAGGGGGAUGGCAGUGUAGUAUCUCUUUAACCCCCCCCCACCCCAAAGAUCUUCAGCACCAAAAAUAUUAAAUCAUGCUGUAACAAAGUACAAUUACAGUUAUAAACUUGAAACACAUGAAGCAUGCAAGUAGAAAAGAACAACAACAACAGCUACAAAACAACGAAAUAAACAUUUUCAAGUCAAGAGUACA
rnacentral:lncRNA from 1 species